GCCACUACCAACCACAGUAUGGCAGAGAAGUAGCAGAGAAGAAAUAAAAGAAAUCCCCUCUCACUCUCCAAUUCUGUUGUUGCCUCCAUGCGCCAAUCCAAACCGAAAGCCAGAAGGCAAAACUACCUGGUGUGUCUGGAAGUGUCUGUUUCUGGAAUUCCACUCACAGGGGAAAAUUAGCCUGAACCAGAUGGCUUGAAACAGUCCUCAUGGGUGAGGGGUGGAAGGAGACACUGGAAAAGGGGACUGAAAUCAGCUUUAGGAACUUUCUGUCCUUUAAUCUCAAGAAUACAGAAAGUGAAUGUAACAUGUUAUGAGAAACCUCAUAUUGCCUGUAGAUCUUCACUUUCAAUACACACACACGCACACGCACACGCACACAGGCUACUGCUAUUGGCAAAUGCCUCCUCUCCAGCCAUCAGAGGAAAGAAGCUAUCCAGACGGUCCCAACGCACCAGGGAUAGAUGGAGUCUCCGCAGCCCUCAGCUGCAGCGGACUGGUCUGUGGAAUCACAGCGAGGAAGGUGUUGCGAGGAAAUCCCUUGCAUGCUGUGUGGUGUGUUAAAAAUGCAGCAUCAUCCUCUCUGCUCCUUUUCUUCGCUGAAAAGCAGAAUUCGAGGGCACAGGGAAACUGGAGGGGCGAGAAGGCUGUCUCCUGGAGCCCUGGGGCUGUCUCCCUCCAUGCCCCACUCCUUGGGCUCUAAUUGCCCUUGCUCCAAUGGGCCAGCAGCACCUUCACCAUUUAUUUCCUCUUCAAUUCACUCCAGCGGGGAGGGAAGAGGGAACACAAAACUCUAAAAAUAACUGUCAGC
rnacentral:lncRNA from 1 species